rnacentral:tRNA from 1 species
GCCGGUGUGAUGGAAUUGGCAGACGUGCUGGACUCAAAAUCCUGUGGUAGUGAUACCGUAUCGGUUCGACCCCGAUCACCGGCACCA